GGCUCUUUAGCAUAAUGGUAAUGCGGCUGACUGUUAAUCAGCGAGAUUUGGGUUCAAGUCCCAAGGGAGCCU
rnacentral:tRNA from 1 species